rnacentral:lncRNA from 1 species
CCUGGGAAUCAAUGUGUGAGGUGGUGCUAUGUAGCAGGAACCCCUCUUGCUUUGCAAAUAGUUUUUUGUUUGUUUUCCUUUUUGCCCAAUAGAGCCCUGCUCUACUGACCCUUCAAUGUGCCCGUGUGCCUAAAUAUUCCUGGUCGUGUGAAAAGAACCCAGGUAUUAGCUGAACUAAGGAGCACAAUUCUGCAACAUUUUGGCACCCAAACACGGGGCUUGAGAAAUGGAAUGCAAUUGGAGAAACUGGUUGUUUUACCAGGCGUUGAUUGGAAAUGUGUGCUUCCCUUUAAGCAGUCAAGCUCAACUUGCAGAACUGAUGGGAACCCCUUGGGAAAACUGGCCUCAAAUGUUUGUCUACACAGUCCACAUACAGGGUUCUUAACCUGCGGAUGAGGGAAACUUCCCAGGGCUUGUCUGGGUAUGCCCACAGUGGACUGGAGCCCAAAAUGCACACUGGAGGAAGUGGAUGGAGCCACGUGGAUGUCAUGCCUUAUGCAGGGGAGGAGCCUGCUCUCUUCAGCUCCUGUGGUAAUGUGGGAAUCGAUCUGUGAGGCAUAUUUAACUAUCCGGCUAUUUUGGAGAUUGAAAAAAGAAGACCUGAUUUAUCAUGUGCAAUAUCUCACACAUCUGUCAUUUCUAUUCUACCGCAAUUCGGAUGGAGUCUUGUUCUGUGGUCCAGGCUAGAGGGCAGUGGCAUGAUCUCGGCUCACUACAAGCUCUGCCUCCCGGGUUCACGCCAUUCUCCUGCCUCAGCCUCCUGAGUAGCUGGGACUACAGGCGCCCGCCACCACGCCUGGCUAAUUUUUUGUAUAUUUACUAGAGAUGGCUAGUGUUAGCCAAGAUGGUCUCGAUCUCCUGACCUCGUGAUCUGCCCACCUCAGCCUGCCAAAGUGCUGGGAUUACUGGCGUGAGCCACCGUGCCUGGCCAGCAUCCUCUAAUUAUUAUUCAUAGUUUGUGAAUUUAGGCCUACGUGAAUAAUAAUAUAAUAUUUACUAUGAUGUUACUAUCUACCAACCUUAUUUUUCUUUUCUAUAAAAUAGGAGCCAAAAUAAUAUUUAUGUCAUACCUUAUGAAGUUAAAAUAAAAUAUAACGAAUGAGGGGCUUAA